GCUUGAGCACGUAGGUGGGUUUGUAAGUCAGAUGUGAAAGCCUUCUGUUCAACGGAAGAAUUGCAUCUGAAACUGCAAGUCUUGAGUGUAGGAGGGGAGAAUGGAACUUCUGGUGGAGCGGUGAAAUGCGUAGAUAUCAGAAGGAACGCCGGCGGCGAAAGCGAUUCUCUGGCCUAUUACUGACACUCAGUGUGCGAAAGCUAGGGGAGCAAACGGGAUUAGAUACCCCGGUAGUCCUAGCCGUAAACGAUGGGCACUAAGUAGAGGGAAUUACCGAUGUUCUCUCUGCCGUAGCUAACGCAUUAAGUGCCCCGCCUGGGGAGUACGGCCGCAAGGCUAAAACUCAAAAGAAUUGACGGGGGCUCGCACAAGCGGUGGAGCAUGUGGCUUAAUUCGAUGCAACGCGAAAAACCUUACCGGGGCUUGACGUGGUAGAAGUAGGAACCCGAAAGGGUAACGAACGGUAUCCAGUCCGUAGCUAUCACAGGUGUUGCAUGGCUGUCGUCAGCUCGUGUCGUGAGACGUUGGGUUAAGUCCCCUAACGAGCGAAACCCUUGUUUUUAGUUACCAGCGGGUUAUGCCGGGUACUCUAGAAAGACUGCCGUCGUCAAGACGGAGGAAGGUGGGGAUGACGUCAAGUCAUCAUGGCCCUUAUGCCCCGGGCUGCACACGUGCUACAAUGGUCGGUACAAACGGAUGCGAAGCCGAGAGGUGAAGCGAAUCCAAGC
rnacentral:rRNA from 1 species